rnacentral:rRNA from 1 species
ACUACGGGAGGCUGCAGUGGGGAAUAUUGCACAAUGGGCGCAAGCCUGAUGCAGCCAUGCCGCGUGUGUGAAGAAGGCCUUCGGGUUGUAAAGCACUUUCAGCGGGGAGGAAGGCGGUGAGGUUAAUAACCUCAUCGAUUGACGUUACCCGCAGAAGAAGCACCGGCUAACUCCGUGCCAGCAGCCGCGGUAAUACGGAGGGUGCAAGCGUUAAUCGGAAUUACUGGGCAUAAAGCGCACGCAGGCGGUCUGUCAAGUCGGAUGUGAAAUCCCCGGGCUCAACCUGGGAACUGCAUUCGAAACUGGCAGGCUAGAGUCUUGUAGAGGGGGGUAGAAUUCCAGGUGGAGCGGUGAAAUGCGUAGAGAUCUGGAGGAAUACCGGUGGCGAAGGCGGCCCCCUGGACAAAGACUGACGCUCAGGUGCGAAAGCGUGGGGAGCAAACAGGAUUAGAUACCCUAGUAGUC